UUCAGGAAACUCCCAGAAUUUGCCAAUGCUACAGGCCCUGGACUCCAACGGUGGCAAGAAAUGCAAAUGACAUGGAAUACAAGUGAUUGUUCUGAAGAUUCUAGAACAGUCCAUAAAGAAUGUGAUGAUGCCUUGUACUGUUUGGGCAUUUUUUGAGCACCAACUGAACCACCAACUGAACCACCAACUAGCUAAACCACCUGAGCACUGCAAUCGUUUCACCACCAAGAGAAUAAUAUGGAAGGGAGUCCUCUGCCACCUCUCGAAGAGUGGUCUGAAGGGGACGAAGAGGAGGAAAAGUCUGAUGACGAUGAAGGCGAGGAAUACGAUGAUGACGACGACUUCGUCGGGGGGUCAGAGAAGGAUCAGAGUGAAGGAGAGAAUGAGCAGCUAUCCACAGGCAUCGAUUACUUCAGCGAGGAAGAGGAUGGGGUGCUGGAUAUAGAGAUAGAGGGAUUCCAGCAAAGUAGGGUGGAUGGCCACAAGACAGUCAGUCCUUUUGGUCGUAUACUGAAUAUCUGGGAUAUAACCAAGUACAUCGGCAAGUGGAAGUUAGCACACAUAAAGGGCUACCACUUUGAAACCUUCAACGGAGAGCAAGCCCACAAGAACCUGCUCAAGCAAAGGGAGUUAGACUGCAAAACCAGUAUUCCUCUUCCUAUUGUGUGCAUGAUGGAGACCGAGGCUCUGCGUAUUCUGGAGAAGAUGGAACAGACAUACAGGUCUGAAUUUGGGGCCAACCACCAAUUGACCAAAGACGUCCAGGACAGGAUUGAGGCGGUGAGAGCCCAGCUAGCUGUUAAGUGUGUCUUCGUCCCGACCCUCACUCUCUGGCAGGACGAUCUGAAGUUAUGGUGUUCGUGGCUGCUGUUAACCCUGCUAAACAGGGGAAACAAGCAUCUCCGAUCAGGGUGGAGGCAGUGGCUCGGGACACUUGUGACAGGAUGGAGCCAGUGGCUAAGGAACCUGACAAGGAGGCCACCAGCGACCAAAACCGAGGCAACGGAGGCAGACGACAGCGACGUCUCUCCAUCAGGAUGGAGGCAGUGGCUCGGGACACUUGUGACAGGAUGGAGCCAGUGGCUGAGGAACCUGAUAAGGAGGCCACCAGCGACCAAGACCAAGGCAACGGAGGCAGACGACAGCGACGUCUCUCCAUCAGGAUGGAGGCAGUGGCUCGGGACACUUGUGACAGGAUGGAGGCCACCAGCGACUGCGACCGAGGCAACGAAGACCAAGGUGUCCCUCAAAAGCGGCCAGUCACAACACAUGUAGACCGGUUUGUAUGGAAGAUGGGAUUUAUCAUUUGUAGAGUUUUGGCUGGCAUAUGACUGGUCACAAAUUCAUUCUGAACAAGACUAUAGAGCAAAUGUUUAUGCUUUCCCCUCUCCCAGAUCUCUUGUUUUUUCAUCCCAAG
ensembl:lncRNA